UCUAGGCAUGGUGGUGUAUACCCCUGGCCCCUGCUACCACAAAGUCUAAGGCUAGCCAAUCUCUUGAGCUUGAAAGUUCUGAGCUGCAAUGGGCUAAGCUGAUCAGGUGUCUGCAUGAACAUUGUCAUCAAUAUUGGGGGAGCCCUCAGGAGUGAGGGGACACCAAAUUGCCUGAGGAGGGGCAAAGCAGCCUAGGUCAGAAAUGGAGCAGGUAAAAAGUUCUUAUGCCAUCCAAUGGUGGGAUCAGACCUGGCAGUAGACCCUAUACUUCCACCUUGGGCAAGAUGGGGAGACCUAGUUUUA
rnacentral:SRP_RNA from 1 species